AUUUAAAGCUGUCGUCAGGCGGGUGCUAUAAAUAUCAGCACGGGCUGCUCGGAAACAAGGCGCAUGGCGGUCAGGGAUGCGGUGACAUUGGGGUGACAGUGACGAGGUUGUGUGGGGGUGGGGUACAGGUGUGCUCACCCAACGUUUCUCCCCGCAGAGCAUCUCGGACGCCUUCGGGAGCAUCUACCGGCAGCACGGCGUGGCGGGGCUGUGGCGGGGGGUGUCGGGCGCAGUGCCACGCGUGGCGGUGGGCUCGGCUGCACAGCUUGCCACCUUCGCUUCUGCCAAGGACUGGGUCUGCCAGCACCAGUGGUUCGGGGAGGGCAGCUGGGCGGCGGUGCUGGCGGGCGGCAUGGUGAGCGGCGUGGCCGUGGCGGUGACGAUGACGCCGUUUGACGUGGUCAGCACGCGGCUCUACAACCAGCCCGUGGAGGCUGACGGCACCGGCAAGCUGUACCGCGGGUUCCUGGACUGCUU
rnacentral:lncRNA from 1 species